GAGAGAGAAUGUAAGAACUGCUAACUCUACACACCAUAUAUAAAAAUGUGGCUCCCUCA
rnacentral:tRNA from 1 species